AUAUGAAACUCUCUAUUAUAUUGGGGUUCCCCACUGACUUCUUCCAGAAUUGCAUCAGCACCUUUUGAUCCAGUCCCAACAGAAGACAUCUAAUGAAAGAAAAUUUUUUGAAUUGCCUCAGCACAUUUGAACUAAUUGUGAAAAGAGAGACCUGACAAGGAUUACAGGGGAAAAAGGGGCACUAGGCUCAGAGAUGCAUCAAGUAUAUGGGUGCAUAGUACUCUGCACUUUGGCAAAGGUGAUAGUUCCUCCUUAACAAAUGCACUAUGAUUUUCCUCACCGGCUAUCUGUGUGCAUGUCUGAGGAGAUGAAGUGACACCCUCUCAUGCACACAUUGAAAGAUAACCAGAAUCAAAGGUGCCUUUACUUGGACUCUUUCUUCACGUGCAUCUGCAAGAAUGGGAAAAAAGGAAUAUCCUGGAGAAACACCAGGAACCCCCAACCUGUGUGUGCAUUUGUGACGGGUGAUGUGACAAUGAAUCCUCACUUAAAUGUUAAAGAAUGAAUACUAAGCUAAAUUAUUAAUACCUAAAGUGUCAUUACACUUCUGCAGCAUGACCUGUGCUGCUCCUCAUUGGCUUUGUCCCUUUGCUUGUCCAUCCUGUGGCACUAGGAAAUGCUGAGACUGAUGAAGGAGGCUAAGAAGAUAUGAUUGUCCCUAUAAGGAAUGAGGUAAUGAGUUCUUUGGGUACAUAAGCUACAAAGAAGCAGUGAGAAGCAAUACUGCUUCUCUUUUCUGCCCCUACCUCUCUUCCUUUUCACAUGCUGCAUAUUCAGGUAUUUAGGGAGUCCCCCGCACGCCCCUUAAGUGGUUUAUUAGCAAUCGCUCUUUGUAUUUUCCAUUUGUUACGUUUUUUUCUAUUCCGUUGUUGGAAUUUCUUUACACUUUGACUCUCACCAUCGCCACAUUUUAAACUUCUCCAACCAAAUCUCCUACCCACAAAAGAUGAGAAGCAUCAGUUUCCUUACAUAAAGACUCAUGAUGAAGAGGAAAGCAGAUUGUCUCUCCAAAGAAGAGCUGGGGGGAAGACAAGAUACACUGCAGCAACACAAAAAUUCUCUGGAAGGCCUUCCUCACUUAUACUGUAUUGCUGCAUCUGGGGUGAAUGUUGGAGUAGAGGAAGCACAAGAAACAGUUGCUC